AUUGAACGCUGGCGGCAGGCCUAACACAUGCAAGUCGAGCGGGGUUUUCGGACCUAGCGGCGGACGGGUGAGUAAUGCGUAGGAAGCUGCCCGAUAGAGGGGGAUACCAGUUGGAAACGACUGUUAAUACCGCAUAAUGUCUACGGACCAAGGUGUGGGACCUUCGGGCCACAUGCUAUCGGAUGCGCCUACGUGGGAUUAGCUAGUUGGUGAGGUAAUGGCUCACCAAGGCGACGAUCUCUAGCUGGUUUGAGAGGAUGAUCAGCCACACUGGAACUGAGACACGGUCCAGACUCCUACGGGAGGCAGCAGUGGGGAAUAUUGGACAAUGGGCGCAAGCCUGAUCCAGCCAUGCCGCGUGUGUGAAGAAGGCCUUCGGGUUGUAAAGCACUUUCAGCGAGGAGGAAGGGAUGUAUGUUAAUAGCAUGCAUUUUUGACGUUACUCGCAGAAGAAGCACCGGCUAACUCUGUGCCAGCAGCCGCGGUAAAAC
rnacentral:rRNA from 1 species